rnacentral:rRNA from 1 species
AGCAGCCGCGGUAAUUCCAGCUCCAAUAGCGUAUAUUAAAGUUGUUGCAGUUAAAAAGCUCGUAGUUGAAUUUCGGGAUCAAUUUAUCGGUCGUGCCUAUGGUAUGAACUGGUACAAUUGGUUUCUCCCUUCUGACGAAGCAUGAUGUCAUUAAUUUGGUGUCGUGGGGAAUCAGGACUGUUACUUUGAAAAAAUUAGAGUGUUUAAAGCAAGCAUUAGCUUGAAUACAUUAGCAUGGAAUAAUGAAAUAGGACGUUUGAUCCUAUUUCGUUGGUUUCUAGGAUCGACGUAAUGAUUAAUAGGGAUAGUUGGGGUCAUUAGUAUUCAAUUGUCAGAGGUGAAAUUCUUGGAUUUAUUGAAGACUAACUACUGCGAAAGCAUUUGCCAAGGAUGUUUUCAUUAAUCAAGAACGAAAGUUAGGGGAUCGAAGACGAUCAGAUACCGUCGUAGUCUUAACCAUAAACUAUGCCGACUAGGGAUCGGAUGAUGUUAAUUUUUUAAUGACUCU